rnacentral:lncRNA from 1 species
CUAAACCACAAAAGUAAGAAUAAAUAAGAUACAUUAAUAAAGUCCUACAAAGAGCGGUAACUGUGGAAAUUAAGCAGCAAUAGCGAAUUUAUUAUAAUAGCCUAUUGUUUCGAAUGUGACAACACAAUACGACUUUACGAGGACAAAAUACAGGUUUAAAACACCCAACCCAUUUCAUGGGACCUUUAAUAACUAAUGACUCAAAAUAACCACCAAAAACUGGUCGAGGACAAACAAAAAUCUAUCACAUUUACAUCUACUGUAAACAGCUAUAUCGGCAAAUUUCUCCACACGAAGUUGCGGUACAAUAAAAUGUUCUAUAAAUU